GGGCACGAUGUUCCACAUAUGGUGGAAGUGCGGGACGAUCAGACCCUAUUGGGAGAUGGUAGAGGACAUAACUAAAGAGAUGGUAGACACCAACAUAAAACUGACCCCGGAAUUGAGCCUCCUAUUCAUGAACUUAGACCAGUUUCAGGGAACUGGGGCAAUAUUGGUUUUCCACAUACUGAUAGCGGCCCUGACACUAAUAGCUAGGGAAUGGAAAAACACAAAGGC